GAGUCCAACACUCUUAUAUCAAAUGAACCUCAGUUCCUGACCAUUGAUUAAUUAACAUCGACGGCAGGAUGGAAGCUUGAUUAAACGGGAUCGUUUUGUUCUAGAGGCAGGCCGAGUGGGAGGGGAAUUUGGGCCUGGGAUGGGUCUGAAAUGGGUUAAGGGCUUUGGGCUAAGGGUAUUUAAUUAUAAACAUCCCACUUUAG
rnacentral:lncRNA from 1 species